rnacentral:rRNA from 1 species
CCUUCCGUAGGGUGAACCUGCGGAAGGAUCAUUACCGAGUGCGGGUCUUUAUGGCCCAACCUCCCACCCGUGACUAUUGUACCUUGUUGCUUCGGCGGGCCCGCCAGCGUUGCUGGCCGCCGGGGGGCGACUCGCCCCCGGGCCCGUGCCCGCCGGAGACCCCAACAUGAACCCUGUUCUGAAAGCUUGCAGUCUGAGUGUGAUUCUUUGCAAUCAGUUAAAACUUUCAACAAUGGAUCUCUUGGUUCCGGCAUCGAUGAAGAACGCAGCGAAAUGCGAUAACUAAUGUGAAUUGCAGAAUUCAGUGAAUCAUCGAGUCUUUGAACGCACAUUGCGCCCCCUGGUAUUCCGGGGGGCAUGCCUGUCCGAGCGUCAUUGCUGCCCUCAAGCCCGGCUUGUGUGUUGGGCCCUCGUCCCCCGGCUCCCGGGGGACGGGCCCGAAAGGCAGCGGCGGCACCGCGUCCGGUCCUCGAGCGUAUGGGGCUUCGUCUUCCGCUCCGUAGGCCCGGCCGGCGCCCGCCGACGCAUUUAUUUGCAACUUGUUUUUUUCCAGGUUGACCUCGGAUCAGGUAGGGAUACCCGCUGAACUUAAGCAUAUCAAUAAGGCGGAAGACAUUACCGAGUGCGGGUCUUUAUGGCCAACCUCCACCCGUGACUAUGGUACCUUGUUGCUUCGGCGGGCCCGCAGCGUUGCUGGCCCCGGGGGGCGACUCCCCGGGGCCUGCCGCGAAAAACUGAACCUGCUCGUAAAAAUCUGGCCUCAAGGGAGGCUUUUUGCAAGCGUAAAAAAUUUCACAAGGGAUCUCUUGGGUUCGGCAUCAAUGAAGAACCCCCGAAAUGCGAGAAUAAGGGGGAUUCGAAGAAUAGGAGAACCAACAUUUUUUAAGAGAAGCCCCCGCGCCCUUGGGGGGGGGAAGUGAAAGAAUUCUUACACCCCUCGCGGCGGGGGUGGGUCCCACCCCCCCCCACCCGACCAGGACAGGGGAGGAAGACCCCCACCCCCAAAGGUCCCUUUGUUGGUUAUUAGCUGCUGGGGCCGCCGCCGGCCCCCCAACAGGAUUUUUUUUUUUUUCUAUUUUUGGAAGCAA